rnacentral:rRNA from 1 species
AGAGUUGAUUAUGGCUCAGGAUGAACGCUAGCGGCAGGCUUAACACAUGCAAGUCGAGGGGCAGCGGGAUGUAGCAAUACAUUGCCGGCGACCGGCGGAUGGGUGCGUAACGCGUAUGCAACCUACCUUAUACAGGGGAAUAACCUUUCGAAAGGGAGACUAACACCCCAUGGUAUUGAUUUAAGGCAUCUUAGAUUAAUUAAAUAUUUAUAGGUAUAAGAUGGGCAUGCGUAUGAUUAGCUAGUUGGUAAGGUAACGGCUUACCAAGGCGACGAUCAUUAGGGGUUCUGAGGGGAAGGUCCCCCACACUGGUACUGAGACACGGACCAGACUCCUACGGGAGGCAGCAGUGAGGAAUACUGGUCAAUGGGCGCAAGCCUGAACCAGCCAUGCCGCGUGCAGGAAAGACGGCCUUAUGGGUUGUAAACUGCUUUUACAUAAGACUAACCGUAUAUUUGCGAAUAUACCUGAAUGUAUUAUGAGAAUAAGGAUCGGCUAACUCCGUGCCAGCCGCUGC